GUGCCCACUUCAAAAGCACCUGUACUAAAAUUGGAACAAUAGAGAGAUGAUUAGCCUGGAUGACACAUGAAUUAGUAAAGCAUUUCAUAUUCUU
ensembl:snRNA U6 U6 spliceosomal RNA